AAUGAACGUUGGCGGCGUGGAUUAGGCAUGCAAGUCGAGCGCUCACCCGCAAGGGUGGGAGCGGCGAAAGGGAGAGUAACGCGUGGGUAUCUGCCCUCGGGACUGGGAUAGCUGCGGGAAACUGCAGGUAAUACCAGAUGACGUCCCCGGACCAAAGGUGUGAUUCCGCCUGAGGAUGAGCCCGCGUCCUAUUAGCUUGUUGGUGGGGUAAUGGCCUACCAAGGCAAUGAUGGGUACUGGGUGUGAGAGCACGACCCAGCUCACUGGGACUGAGACACUGCCCAGACACCUACGGGUGGCUGCAGUCGAGAAUCUUCGGCAAUGGGCGAAAGCCUGACCGAGCGACGCCGCGUGUGGGAUGAAGGCCUUCGGGUUGUAAACCGCUGUCAGAGGGGAGGAAUGGGCGGAGGGUAAUCCCUUCGUUUUGACCUAUCCUCAGAGGAAGUACGGGCUAAGUUCGUGCCAGCCGCCGCAGUAAUAC
rnacentral:rRNA from 1 species